UACGAAGGGGACUAGCGUUGUUCGGAAUCACUGGGCGUAAAGCGCACGUAGGCGGAUGUGUCAGUCAGGGGUGAAAUCCCGGGGCUCAACCUCGAGACGCCGAUGGAAACCAUGUGGCUAGAGUCCGGAAGAGGAGAGUGGAAUUCAUGGUGUAGCAGUGAAAUGCGUAGAGAUCAUGAGGAAGACCAGUGGCGAAGGCGGGUCUCGUGGACAGUUCCUGACGCUGAGGCACGAAGGCCAGGGGAGCAAACGGG
rnacentral:rRNA from 1 species